GCCCGCGUCCCGGCCGAUGCGGGGGACGCGAACCGCGUCGGGCCCGCGCAAUCUCGGCCAAGAGUGCCACCGAGCUCCCGUCUCUUCGGACCCGCCCCGCGGGCCCCGCAGCAGGCGCCUGGCCGGGCCCCGGGUCCUCCGCGCGGCGCGAGGGCUUGUUCGGGCCCGGCCGCGGGUCGUCGGUGGUGCUUCGGGCCCAGGCAGCGAGGCAACGGGGAAAGGCCAGUCCCGCCGGCAGGCGCGCUCCGGGAACCGGGCCGGGGUGGUCGGCCGGCCCCAAGCUCUCCCGGCCGCGGCCGCCCGCACAAGCGGCGGGAAGGAGGAAGCCAGGAAGAAAAAUAAACCCCGUCUCCGCCGCCGGCUCCCUCCCGCCCGCUCCCCUCCCCCCUCGGGACGCGGGGUCCAUUUUGCCGAGAAGAAAGAAAAUGCGAUUCACACCCAAGAGCUUCCGAGAGAGAAAAGCAACGAGGGGGGGAAAACCGAGCCCCGCUCCCUCCUUCCCGGCUCCCGGCGGCUCCGGGGGGGCGGAAAACACACUCACACUCGCGCACACAACUAAUUUUAAACCGGCUCAAUCAAUGAGUCAUUAAAAGGCUUCCCUCCCCUCUCCUCCCCACCACCAACCGCCACGCCACCCCCCUUCCCAGGCUCUCCCUCUCCCCGCUCCAGAAAUUUGCAUCCGCGGAAAAGGAAAAAAAAAAAAAAAAAAAGGCGCCGGGCCCCACCCCGCCGAAGCGCCCCCAGCCCGGCCCCGCCGCCCCCUGCCCGCCCGCGCCCCGCCCGAGACACUGAACUUGGUCUUCCCGGGGCCCGGGCAUCGCUGGGAAAGACAUAAACACUCGAUUCCCCUUUUCUCCGUGUCCAUUAAACAUCCACCCACCACCACCAUCACCCACCCACAAACCCACCCCCCCCAAAAAAAAAACACAGCCUUAGCCAAUAGCUCUCUGGGCUGAAACCUAAUAUCCUGGUUUUGGCAACUCGGUGUUUAAUUUGCUCCUCUUUCUUUUCUGUCUGUCUGGAGAUAGAUCUCCAGCCCCCCUCCCUCGCUUUUCCCCUCCCCGAAGGAAAGAGGCAGAGGAAGGAGGUUGUGUGUGUUUUUUUUUUUUCUCCUUGAAAUUUUUAUCACAAAAUUAUAAUACACUCAAAGGGAAACUCACCGUCAUGAAAAGCAGUGCCUUGUCAACGGGGUUUCUGCGCCAUCGCACCAGGGGCGGCGGCGGCGGCGGCGGCGGCGGCGGCGGGCGCGGGGCGCGGGGCGCGGGCGCGGGAGCUCCCGGCCGAGCGGCGCCGGCCACACGCGCUCCGCUCUCUCUCUCGCUCACCCCCGCGCCGGGCGGCGGGCGCCCGCUCCCCGCGCCCGCCCGGCCUUCAUGCUCUGCGCCCGGGCAAACCGCUCGCCUGCUCGUCUACCUCCAAACUUCGGUUCUCGCCUAGCAAAAAACGUGGAGAUUAGGAUUUUUUUAAUUAAAAAAAAAAAUUUUUUUUAAGAAAACCCAAGCUCCAGAGCUGUUAAUUCCUGUUUCCUUUGGGAUUCUUUUUAACUUCAAGAAAUGUAGUGGUUUAUUCAAGAAACAGGGUUUUUUGGCUUUUUUUUUUUUUUUUUAAGAUCUACAAGAUGCGUGCUAUUCUCCGCAGGCGCUCUGCGCGCACACACACACACACACACACAAUCCAGUUUUAGCUGGGGGGAGGAGAGGCAGGAGGGGAAUUUAAAAACAAAAAACACAAUAUUUCUUUAUAACUCUAAUUAGAACAAGUCCCAGUAAAUACUUUUUUGCAUAUGCUUAAAUAAAAAACCCGAAAACAUCA
rnacentral:lncRNA from 1 species